rnacentral:rRNA from 1 species
CACACUGGACUGAGACACGGUCCAGACUCCUACGGGAGGCAGCAGUGGGGAAUAUUGCACAAUGGGCGCAAGCCUGAUGCAGCCAUGCCGCGUGUGUGAAGAAGGCCUUCGGGUUGUAAAGCACUUUCAGUCGUGAGGAAGGUGGUGUAGUUAAUAGCUGCAUUAUUUGACGUUAGCGACAGAAGAAGCACCGGCUAACUCCGUGCCAGCAGCCGCGGUAAUACGGAGGGUGCGAGCGUUAAUCGGAAUUACUGGGCGUAAAGCGCAUGCAGGUGGUUUGUUAAGUCAGAUGUGAAAGCCCGGGGCUCAACCUCGGAAUAGCAUUUGAAACUGGCAGACUAGAGUACUGUAGAGGGGGGUAGAAUUUCAGGUGUAGCGGUGAAAUGCGUAGAGAUCUGAAGGAAUACCGGUGGCGAAGGCGGCCCCCUGGACAGAUACUGACACUCAGAUGCGAAAGCGUGGGGAGCAAACAGGAUUAGAUACCCUGGUAGUCCACGCCGUAAACGAUGUCUACUUGGAGGUUGUGGCCUUGAGCCGUGGCUUUCGGAGCUAACGCGUUAAGUAGACCGCCUGGGGAGUACGGUCGCAAGAUUAAAACUCAAAUGAAUUGACGGGGGCCCGCACAAGCGGUGGAGCAUGUGGUUUAAUUCGAUGCAACGCGAAGAACCUUACCUACUCUUGACAU